rnacentral:tRNA from 1 species
AGUUAAUUAGCUUAUUGAUAAAGCUCAUGUUUUGAAAACAUAGGACAGAAGUUUAAUUCUUCUAUUAACUU